rnacentral:lncRNA from 1 species
UGUUGUUAAAGGGGAACUGACAACAUUUUAGCAACAUUAAAUCUUAUUAAAAUCUGUUCAUAUUCACCCCCAGGAAGAAUAUGCUAUGUGUUUUUUUCUUUUUUUUUCUUCACAUUUUCUGACAAGCGAGCGCUUAGAUAUUGUCUUUUUAACAUUUUUAAUACAUUCGUAGAAUGUUUAGGGAAUUGCGUAUAUAGGAAGGCAUUUUGUGAAAAUUCUGUAGUAAUAUAUAGAGUGGGAAAGCGGCUGUGCGUUUGGACAAUUAACAGACACUGCAGUACAUAAAACCUAAUAAAAACAUCUGUCUCGUCCAGGACCGGAGUCUACGCAGAUUGGUGGGCCUUUUAGCCAAUCAGAGGUACGGUAGGACCUAUAUGCAAACAAAGCCAUUUGCCACACGGGCCUGCCAUCAUUCACUUUGAACUGGACUGUGUGUUUACAGGUAUUUGCAACAGCGAGACAUUAGAAUGCAUUCGGCAAAAGCCACAAAAUACACACCUGAAUGGAUUUCUGCAAAUAUGUAAAUACCACGGGAGAGUCCUCUUACGUUUGGGAACUUGCCAGUCCUAUUGGUCAAACAACCAUGAAAAGGUAGACUCUCUCUCUCAGUUAUACACAUCAAUAACCAUGAAAAGGUAGACUCUCUCUCUCUCAGUUAUACACAUCAACAACCAUGAAAAGGUAGACUCUCUCUCUCUCUCUCAGUUAUACACAUCAAUAACCAUGAAAAGGUAGACUCUCUCUCUCAGUUAUACACAUCAAUAACCAUGAAAAGGUAGACUCUCUCUCAGUUAUACACAUCAAUAACCAUGAAAAGGUAGACUCUCUCUCUCUCUCUCUGUUAUACACAUCAAUAACCAUGAAAAGGUAGACUCUCUCUCAGUUAUACACAUCAAUAACCAUGAAAAG